GAUGAAGAACGUAGCGAAAUGCGAUAAGUAGUGUGAAUUGCAGAAUUCAGUGAAUCAUCGAAUCUUUGAACGCACAUUGCGCCCCUUGGUAUUCCAUGGGGCAUGUCUGUUCGAGCGUCAUUUGUACCUUCAAGCUCUGCUUGGUGUUGGGUGUUUGUCUCGCCUCUGCGUGUAGACUCGCCUUAAAACAAUUGGCAGCCGGCGUAUUGAUUUCGGAGCGCAGUACAUCUCGCGCUUUGCACUCAUAACGACGACGUCCAAAAGUACAUUUUUACACUCUUGACCUCGGAUCAGGUAGGGAUACCCGCUGAACUUAAGCAUAUCAAUAAGCGGAGGA
rnacentral:misc_RNA from 1 species